AACGAACGCUGGCGGCAGGCUUAACACAUGCAAGUCGAACGCGUGUAGCAAUACACGAGUGGCGCACGGGUGAGUAACGCGUGGAUAUCUGCCUUUUGGUUCGGAAUAACCCCGGGAAACUGGGGCUAAUACCGGAUGGUUCCUUCGGGAUAAAGAUUUAUCGCCAAAAGAUGAGUCCGCGUCCGAUUAGCUAGUUGGUGAGGUAAUGGCUCACCAAGGCGACGAUCGGUAGCUGGUCUGAGAGGACGAUCAGCCACACUGGGACUGAGACACGGCCCAGACUCCUACGGGAGGCAGCAGUGGGGAAUAUUGGACAAUGGGGGCAACCCUGAUCCAGCCAUGCCGCGUGAGUGAUGAAGGCCUUCGGGUUGUAAAGCUCUUUUGGCGGGGACGAUGAUGACGGUACCCGCAGAAUAAGCCCCGGCUAACUUCGUGCCAGCCGCCGCGGUAA
rnacentral:rRNA from 1 species